rnacentral:piRNA from 1 species
UCUAAGCUUUAUUACAAUUUU